rnacentral:rRNA from 1 species
GACGAACGCUGGCGGCGUGCUUAACACAUGCAAGUCGAACGGAAAGGCCCUGCUUUUGUGGGGUGCUCGAGUGGCGAACGGGUGAGUAACACGUGAGUAACCUGCCCUUGACUUUGGGAUAACUUCAGGAAACUGGGGCUAAUACCGGAUAGGAGCUCCUGCUGCAUGGUGGGGGUUGGAAAGUUUCGGCGGUUGGGGAUGGACUCGCGGCUUAUCAGCUUGUUGGUGGGGUAGUGGCUUACCAAGGCUUUGACGGGUAGCCGGCCUGAGAGGGUGACCGGCCACAUUGGGACUGAGAUACGGCCCAGACUCCUACGGGAGGCAGCAGUGGGGAAUAUUGCAGAAUGGGCGGAAGCCUGAUGCAGCAACGCCGCGUGCGGGAUGACGGCCUUCGGGUUGUAAACCGCUUUCGCCGGUGACGAAGCGUGAGUGACGGUAAUGGGUAAAGAAGCACCGGCUAACUACGUG